rnacentral:rRNA from 1 species
AACGAACGCUGGCGGCAUGCCUAACACAUGCAAGUCGAACGAGACCUUCGGGUCUAUUGGCGCACGGGUGCGUAACGCGUGGGAACCUGCCCUUAUGUUCGGAAUAACUCCCCGAAAGGGGUGCUAAUACCGGAUAAUGUCUUCGGCCCAAAGAUUUAUCGCCUUUGGAUGGGCCCGCGUUGGAUUAGCUAGUUGGUAGGGUAAAAGCCUACCACGGCGACGAUCCAUAGCUGGUCUGAGAGGAUGAUCAGCCACACUGGGACUGAGACACGGCCGAGACUCCUACGGGAGGCAGCAGUGGGGAAUAUUGGACAAUGGGCGAAAGCCUGAUCCAGCAAUGCCGCGUGAGUGAUGAAGGCCUUAGGGUUGUAAAGCUCUUUUACCCGGGAUGAUAAUGACAGUACCGGGAGAAUAAGCUCCGGCUAACUCCGUG